rnacentral:lncRNA from 1 species
UCGCGGGAUCGAAUCCCGGCCACGGCGGCCGCAUUUCGAUGGGGGCGAAAUGCGAAAACACCCGUGUACUUAGAUUUAGAUGCACGUGAAAGCACCCCAGGAGUUAAAAAUUAAUUCGGAGUCAUCCACUACGGCGUGCCUCUUAAUCUUACCGUAGUUUCUGCGCGUAAGCUCGAGCAUUUUAUUAUUUUU